rnacentral:rRNA from 1 species
AGAGUUUGAUCCUGGCUCAGAUUGAACGCUGGCGGCAGGCCUAACACAUGCAAGUCGAGCGGUAGCACAGAGAGCUUGCUCUCGGGUGACGAGCGGCGGACGGGUGAGUAAUGUCUGGGAAACUGCCUGAUGGAGGGGGAUAACUACUGGAAACGGUAGCUAAUACCGCAUAAUGUCGCAAGACCAAAGUGGGGGACCUUCGGGCCUCAUGCCAUCAGAUGUGCCCAGAUGGGAUUAGCUAGUAGGUGGGGUAACGGCUCACCUAGGCGACGAUCCCUAGCUGGUCUGAGAGGAUGACCAGCCACACUGGAACUGAGACACGGUCCAGACUCCUACGGGAGGCAGCAGUGGGGAAUAUUGCACAAUGGGCGCAAGCCUGAUGCAGCCAUGCCGCGUGUGUGAAGAAGGCCUUCGGGUUGUAAAGCACUUUCAGCGGGGAGGAAGGCGGUGAGGUUAAUAACCUCAUCGAUUGACGUUACCCGCAGAAGAAGCACCGGCUAACUCCGUGCCAGCAGCCGCGGUAAUACGGAGGGUGCAAGCGUUAAUCGGAAUUACUGGGCGUAAAGCGCACGCAGGCGGUCUGUCAAGUCGGAUGUGAAAUCCCCGGGCUCAACCUGGGAACUGCAUUCGAAACUGGCAGGCUAGAGUCUUGUAGAGGGGGGUAGAAUUCCAGGUGUAGCGGUGAAAUGCGUAGAGAUCUGGAGGAAUACCGGUGGCGAAGGCGGCCCCCUGGACAAAGACUGACGCUCAGGUGCGAAAGCGUGGGGAGCAAACAGGAUUAGAUACCCUGGUAGUCCACGCCGUAAACGAUGUCGAUUUGGAGGUUGUGCCCUUGAGGCGUGGCUUCCGGAGCUAACGCGUUAAAUCGACCGCCUGGGGAGUACGGCCGCAAGGUUAAAACUCAAAAUGAAUUGACGGGGGCCCGCACAAGCGGUGGAGCAUGUGGUUUAAUUCGAUGCAACGCGAAGAACCUUACCUGGUCUUGACAUCCACAGAACUUAGCAGAGAUGCUUUGGUGCCUUCGGGAACUGUGAGACAGGUGCUGCAUGGCUGUCGUCAUCUCGUGUUGUGAAAUGUUGGGUUAAGUCCCGCAACGAGCGCAACCCUUAUCCUUUGUUGCCAGCGGUCCGGCCGGGAACUCAAAGGAGACUGCCAGUGAUAAACUGGAGGAAGGUGGGGAUGACGUCAAGUCAUCAUGGCCCUUACGACCAGGGCUACACACGUGCUACAAUGGCAUAUACAAAGAGAAGCGACCUCGCGAGAGCAAGCGGACCUCAUAAAGUAUGUCGUAGUCCGGAUUGGAGUCUGCAACUCGACUCCAUGAAGUCGGAAUCGCUAGUAAUCGUAGAUCAGAAUGCUACGGUGAAUACGUUCCCGGGCCUUGCACUCACCGCCCGUCA